rnacentral:rRNA from 1 species
ACGACCAUAGGUUCAAGGAAAUAGCGCUUCCCGUCCGCUCAGCGGUACUCAAACUUGUGACUGGCGGGCUAGUAGUCAGGUGGGUGACCACUGGCGAAUCCCCGCUGUUGUA